AGAUACCCGGGUAGUCCACACCGUAAACGAUGAAUGCCAGACGUCAGCAAGCAUGCUUGUUGGUGUCACACCUAACGGAUUAAGCAUUCCGCCUGGGGAGUACGGUCGCAAGAUUAAAACUCAAAUGAAUUGACGGGGGCCCGCACAAGCGGUGGAGCAUGUGGUUUAAUUCGAUGCAACGCGAAGAACCUUACCUACACUUGACAUUCAGAAAACUUUCCAGAGAUGGAUUGGUGCCUUCGGGAAUUCUGGGACAGGUGCUGCAUGGCCGCCGUCAG
rnacentral:rRNA from 1 species